GAUGAACGCUGGCGGUAUGCUUAACACAUGCAAGUCGAACGGACUCUUCGGAGUUAGUGGCGGACGGGUGAGUAACGCGUGAGAAUCUGGCUUUGGGUUCGGGACAACCACUGGAAACGGUGGCUAAUACCGGAUGUGCCGAGAGGUAAAAGAGAAAUUGCCUGAAGAUGAUCUCGCGUCUGAUUAGCUAGUUGGUGAGGUAAAGGCUCACCAAGGCAGCGAUCAGUAGCUGGUCUGAGAGGAUGACCAGCCACACUGGGACUGAGACACGGCCCAGACUCCUACGGGAGGCAGCAGUGGGGAAUUUUCAGCAAUGGGCGAAAGCCUGACGGAGCAAUACCGCGUGAGGGAAGAAGGCUCUUGGGUUGUAAACCCCUUUUCUUAGGGAAGAACAAAAUGACGGUACCUAAGGAAUCAGCAUCGGCUAACUCCGUG
rnacentral:rRNA from 1 species